GAACCUGAGGCUUCAAUUACAAGCCCCACCAACUUGCAGGCCAUGAAUGUUAGCAAACUUGAAAGUGGAUCUUCUAGUUUCGGUCAAGCCUUGGAUGACAGCCCCAGUUGAAAUGUGACUGUAACCACACAAGAUGUCCUGAGGCACAACCACCAUGAUAAAUUGUUCUUGAAUUUCUCAUUUACAGAAACUCAAUUAGGUGGCAGCCUUGACUAUGUGCACCGCCCAUGAAGGUCGCCUUUGCCUUGCUUUUCCUGACUUGUCAAGUGCAUGAUGAUGUGGUGACCCUGAGACCACUGAAGAAGAAAUAAAUGAAGACCAUGAAACUUUCUUGAACUUAUGGGGAUCCGUGAGAAAAUCUGACAUUAUGUUCUCUUCUCUUGGAAGGUAGAAAUAUUGUUUGACUUCUGUUUUGCUGACAAGAAAUGUGGUCCUGAGCAAGGCUACCUGGGACAAUGACCUUGCACAUGGAAAAGUUUGGAGCCCAUCUGUUUCCAAUCUGCUGUUUUCCAAAAAUUAGGGAAGUUCAGUUUUCCCUUUGAUAACUCUCUGUUUCUAACAAUCCCAGUGCCAGGGCUGUCCUGUUUCUACAAGUGACAAUGACAAAUAUAGGCCUGAAGGAAGAUGAGCUGAUGGCAUUCCCAGCUUAUUACCACUCCUUGGGGGCCUUAUCUCACAUACAUGGAUUCAACUCAUAGACUCAGCUGGAUGAGGAUCUGUUAUUCAGCUGCAUUAGAAGUGACUGCUUAAGACUCAGGUGUGUGGUGAAAUGAGGCAGAAUUUUCUCAGUGGAGUGUUAGGAGAAUUUUCUCCUCAUAACUACCAUCUUACUAUCAGUAAAUCAUAGCUAAAAUAAGGAAAUUAUUCAAGAAGAAAUACAAAUGUAAUCUUAGGACAUAAAUUUAGAGAUUUGUGGAAAGCACUUCAUAAUUUUAUGGUAUUCUCUUUGAGCUGGGAUUAUAGUUGACAUUUCAUUAUAAUAUAUUAGUUAUACUAGACUUUAUGCAUUUAUGUAAAUUUUUAAAUUAUACUUUAAGUUCUGGGAUACAGGGGCAGGGUGUGCAGGUUUG